AAACCAGCAAAUACAUUUUAAUCUCGGUAUGUUACUAUGAUCAAUAAUGCAAUGUUAUUGGCCGACAAAAACAAUGUUUUUGAAGCGAAAAAAAAAGUAACUUCACAGAGACAAGUCUUGAAAUUGUAGCAAGGAAGAUGUGGAGCCAACCACACGUGAUAUUCGCGUGACUGCAUGCUUAUUGUUCGGCAUAAUCCAGACAACCUUUGUUUAUUUUGUCUCCUGACUAAUACUGAUGUGAUUAAUUUUCUUAUUGAUGUUUUGUUGCAAAAUUAUUACUGACUAAUGUAACUGUGAACUUGAACAUAAUUUUAGUAUCAUUAUGCAGUAUCUUUUCCUUGGAUUAAUCAAAGAUUAUGUCCGUAAUUAAAAACACUGCAGGUUCAACGCAUCAAGUACUAGUUUCGUUUCUGUACUGUAAUAGUACAAGUUUGGUUUACGAACCAUGAUUAUAGACUUUAUAGUAGGGUGAUUAGUUUCUGUUUUAUGAAGCAUCCGAUAUCUUGGAAUUAGUGAUUUUAUUUUGGGCCCCUCGUGUAUAUUGAUACCAACCUUGUUAUAUAUUCCUCUCUUAUUAUUAACUACUCCCUCCGUUUCAUAAUACAUGAUGUUAUUCCUUAUUGCACAAAGAUUAAGAAAUUUAAUUUUCUCUAAAAAGUGGUUUAAAAACUAUAAUUUAAAAAUCAUCCAACCAAUUACAGAAAUGACUACAACAUCUAAUUUGCUACACAGUUUUCAAUAAAGUUAAAAAUAAUAUAAAAAUAUCAAAACAUCAUCUAUUUUGAAACAACAAAAAUCUUCUAAAACAUCAUCUAUUAUGAAACGGAGUGAGUAUAGGACUUGGUAUGUGAUAAAUGUUUACAUUAAUAUGAACAAUUAUAGAGAAACAGAAACGUUGAUUUAGAAUUUGUUCAUACAUAAUACUUCGAAGAUGUUUAUAUAUUUCAUGGGCCUAUAGAAAACUAAUAUACAUCAAUGUUUCGAUUAGCUACACAUACUGAGAAAUUAUUCAGAAAUUAGUAACAGUCAAAAUCUAAUCCCACAAAACUAACUCCUAGUCCAUUAAUUGGCACAUUGUUUGUUAUGCGAUCAAAACUACUAAUAAUAAAAUUCUAACCACAUCUCAUAAUUAUGAGAUCAAAAUCUUUUAUAUAUAAAGAAGACCUUGAAUCACUCCCAUCCUAUCCACGUCAGCGUCCACAUCAUCAAUUCGGUUCAUGACGUCUCGCCACGUGUCCAUGACCCUCAACACACACCGUAUCAAUAACUUGAUGACAUCUUGGGCUUUGCUCGCAUGCAUGUUGAGUGAUCUGGUGAAUUGUCCGACCCAAAAUAAAAAGAAGGCGAUGUCUCUCAAAACCUAAUACGGCUUUGGAGAAAACACGCAGAUCGACUUUCUCUUCGUGCGGCCGGAGACGAUGACGUUUGAGCUCCAUCUCAUGCCUGAAACUGUCCAUUUAUUGCUUCAUUUUCAAUCGCAUUAAUUCUCUCAUCCAUGAUGUGUCUUUGAAGCGCUGAUUAGAUCUCAGAGGCGGUGUGUGUUCAAAAUAAAUAUGUGUGAGAUUUUUUCCUUGAACUCAUCCUCUCUUCGCAAUUCUUAUAUUUCCACACAUAGAUUUCGAUAUGGCUAAUUCGAGGGGAUUUUCUCUGAUUUGAAGUCCGGUAAGUGUUCGUCCGUCGUCGAGGCUCGGCUCCUGCUUACACCGUUCAGACUUACAAGCAACAAGCAUAAACUACUUACGCAUCACCUUUAGAUACGUCAGCUUCGUAUGUUCUUUUCGCUAACAUGAAACAGGACGUUACUCAAACUCAAACACAGCGGAGGGCAUCAUUUAAUGGUACUGGUCUAGCAGCAAUGUUGUGUUCUUGGAUGCUUUAGAAAUUCAGAUCUAUUGGUGUUUGAUUUUAACAGGGAAAUCGAGAAAAUGUAGAAAUUCAGAUCGCAGAUUACAUAUACCAUGCUUUUGAUCAGAGAGUUAGAGAAUUAUCUAGCCACCCAUAUUUUCUGAGAUACUCUGCUCCAAUCUCAAAGAGGAAGAAGAAGAAGAAAAAGAAGAAGAUGAAAAGAGUAAAAGGAAGAAGAGGAAACACGAGUCUGAUCGGAAAAUAGUCCAAUCUCAAAAUCGUUAAAGGCUUUUUGUGAAAGUUCCAAAAAUGGUAAAUCAACAGCUUUAUUUCUCUUAGUUCAAGGCUGGUUGGUGGAGAACCGGGAAGGUCAAGAAAGAUGGAGAGCUGAUGAGAGUUGAUCUUCUAUUGGUUGAUGGAAAAGUAAGGACUAAGGAGGAUUACUUGCUGAUUUUUUCUUUACAAUAUCUGAAAUUAUUUUUAGAGAUAUUUUUGGAACCAUUGCCUAAAGAUCGUUUUGUUUGUUUUGGUGGGAGUUGAUUUGUUACUACAGUGAACAUUGGGUGGUUUUCUUAUACAAAGCGAUGGUGUUUUAGGCUUUGAGGAAUGUUUAUCUGAUUUACAUAAAUGAAUUAGUCUGAGAGCAAAUUUCAGAUCGCCCAGCGCAUAGACAUCUUCACCGAAGAACAUACAUAGUGGGUCACAAAGUUGAAUGGCAUAACCACAAAUUCUCUGUU